CGCAGCCUGGUGUGAAGCUUGCUGGCAAGGAGAAGAGUCAGGCUUUCAUUUGAACUGGAAGGCUGAUGAACAGACGUUUUAGAAAGUGAGAAGAUACAGACAAUGUAGCAGAUGGAUACAAAGCAGUCGACAUGGCAGACCCUAAUUCCAGCAGUGGCCCUCGAUGUCCAUCUCAGCCUGUGGACAGGGAAGGAGGAGAAUGAGCAGGGACCCUGUCAGCUCUGCCCUCGCAUCGCUUGGCUGAGACGGGGGACGAGGGACAUCUCAGUGCCUUGCUGGCUGCUAACAUUAGCUGCCAGAUGUGGGAGAAUUCAAUGAGGAAAAUGGCAUUCCAGAGGGAUCAAGCCCCACAGGUUAUUGGAGUGACCUCUUGCGUGGUGCUGCCUAUAGGCAGGAUCUACAUAGGCAUUGAAGUGUUGCCUCGCCGGGCAAAUGUGUGAGAAGGAUGAAUGCAGUUGUACACGUGAAGAGGUCGGGUACUGGGAAUACUGGGAAUACUGAAUACAGGAACGCUGACCAUCAGCUCGGUAUCUCACUCACUGCCCAAGCUGUGGCCUGGCCAUGGGAGAUGCCAAGCAGCUCC